ACUAAGCGUACACGGUGGAUGCCCUGGCAGUCAGAGGCGAUGAAGGACGUGCUAAUCUGCGAUAAGCGUCGGUAAGGUGAUAUGAACCGUUAUAACCGGCGAUUUCCGAAUGGGGAAACCCAGUGUGAUUCGUCACACUAUCAUUAACUGAAUCCAUAGGUUAAUGAGGCGAACCGGGGGAACUGAAACAUCUAAGUACCCCGAGGAAAAGAAAUCAACCGAGAUUCCCCCAGUAGCGGCGAGCGAACGGGGAGCAGCCCAGAGCCUGAAUCAGUGUGUGUGUUAGUGGAAGCGUCUGGAAAGGCGCGCGAUACAGGGUGACAGCCCCGUACACAAAAAUGCACAUACUGUGAGCUCGAUGAGUAGGGCGGGACACGUGGUAUCCUGUCUGAAUAUGGGGGGACCAUCCUCCAAGGCUAAAUACUCCUGACUGACCGAUAGUGAACCAGUACCGUGAGGGAAAGGCGAAAAGAACCCCGGCGAGGGGAGUGAAAAAGAACCUGAAACCGUGUACGUACAAGCAGUGGGAGCCUCUUUAUGGGGUGACUGCGUACCUUUUGUAUAAUGGGUCAGCGACUUAUAUUCUGUAGCAAGGUUAACCGAAUAGGGGAGCCGAAGGGAAACCGAGUCUUAACUGGGCGUUAAGUUGCAGGGUAUAGACCCGAAACCCGGUGAUCUAGCCAUGGGCAGGUUGAAGGUUGGGUAACACUAACUGGAGGACCGAACCGACUAAUGUUGAAAAAUUAGCGGAUGACUUGUGGCUGGGGGUGAAAGGCCAAUCAAACCGGGAGAUAGCUGGUUCUCCCCGAAAGCUAUUUAGGUAGCGCCUCGUGAAUUCAUCUCCGGGGGUAGAGCACUGUUUCGGCAAGGGGGUCAUCCCGACUUACCAACCCGAUGCAAACUGCGAAUACCGGAGAAUGUUAUCACGGGAGACACACGGCGGGUGCUAACGUCCGUCGUGAAGAGGGAAACAACCCAGACCGCCAGCUAAGGUCCCAAAGUCAUGGUUAAGUGGGAAACGAUGUGGGAAGGCCCAGACAGCCAGGAUGUUGGCUUAGAAGCAGCCAUCAUUUAAAGAAAGCGUAAUAGCUCACUGGUCGAGUCGGCCUGCGCGGAAGAUGUAACGGGGCUAAACCAUGCACCGAAGCUGCGGCAGCGACACUAUGUGUUGUUGGGUAGGGGAGCGUUCUGUAAGCCUGUGAAGGUGUGCUGUGAGGUAUGCUGGAGGUAUCAGAAGUGCGAAUGCUGACAUAAGUAACGAUAAAGCGGGUGAAAAGCCCGCUCGCCGGAAGACCAAGGGUUCCUGUCCAACGUUAAUCGGGGCAGGGUGAGUCGACCCCUAAGGCGAGGCCGAAAGGCGUAGUCGAUGGGAAACAGGUUAAUAUUCCUGUACUUGGUGUUACUGCGAAGGGGGGACGGAGAAGGCUAUGUUGGCCGGGCGACGGUUGUCCCGGUUUAAGCGUGUAGGCUGGUUUUCCAGGCAAAUCCGGAAAAUCAAGGCUGAGGCGUGAUGACGAGGCACUACGGUGCUGAAGCAACAAAUGCCCUGCUUCCAGGAAAAGCCUCUAAGCAUCAGGUAACAUCAAAUCGUACCCCAAACCGACACAGGUGGUCAGGUAGAGAAUACCAAGGCGCUUGAGAGAACUCGGGUGAAGGAACUAGGCAAAAUGGUGCCGUAACUUCGGGAGAAGGCACGCUGAUAUGUAGGUGAAGUCCCUUGCGGAUGGAGCUGAAAUCAGUCGAAGAUACCAGCUGGCUGCAACUGUUUAUUAAAAACACAGCACUGUGCAAACACGAAAGUGGACGUAUACGGUGUGACGCCUGCCCGGUGCCGGAAGGUUAAUUGAUGGGGUUAGCGGUAACGCGAAGCUCUUGAUCGAAGCCCCGGUAAACGGCGGCCGUAACUAUAACGGUCCUAAGGUAGCGAAAUUCCUUGUCGGGUAAGUUCCGACCUGCACGAAUGGCGUAAUGAUGGCCAGGCUGUCUCCACCCGAGACUCAGUGAAAUUGAACUCGCUGUGAAGAUGCAGUGUACCCGCGGCAAGACGGAAAGACCCCGUGAACCUUUACUAUAGCUUGACACUGAACAUUGAGCCUUGAUGUGUAGGAUAGGUGGGAGGCUUUGAAGUGUGGACGCCAGUCUGCAUGGAGCCGACCUUGAAAUACCACCCUUUAAUGUUUGAUGUUCUAACGUUGGCCCCUGAUCGGGGUUGCGGACAGUGUCUGGUGGGUAGUUUGACUGGGGCGGUCUCCUCCUAAAGAGUAACGGAGGAGCACGAAGGUUGGCUAAUCCUGGUCGGACAUCAGGAGGUUAGUGCAAUGGCAUAAGCCAGCUUGACUGCGAGCGUGACGGCGCGAGCAGGUGCGAAAGCAGGUCAUAGUGAUCCGGUGGUUCUGAAUGGAAGGGCCAUCGCUCAACGGAUAAAAGGUACUCCGGGGAUAACAGGCUGAUACCGCCCAAGAGUUCAUAUCGACGGCGGUGUUUGGCACCUCGAUGUCGGCUCAUCACAUCCUGGGGCUGAAGUAGGUCCCAAGGGUAUGGCUGUUCGCCAUUUAAAGUGGUACGCGAGCUGGGUUUAGAACGUCGUGAGACAGUUCGGUCCCUAUCUGCCGUGGGCGCUGGAGAACUGAGGGGGGCUGCUCCUAGUACGAGAGGACCGGAGUGGACGCAUCACUGGUGUUCGGGUUGUCAUGCCAAUGGCACUGCCCGGUAGCUAAAUGCGGAAGAGAUAAGUGCUGAAAGCAUCUAAGCACGAAACUUGCCCCGAGAUGAGUUCUCCCUGACUCCUUGAGAGUCCUGAAGGAACGUUGAAGACGACGACGUUGAUAGGCCGGGUGUGUAAGCGCAGCGAUGCGUUGAGCUAACCGGUACUAAUGAACCGUGAGGCUUAACC
rnacentral:rRNA from 2 species